rnacentral:lncRNA from 13 species
GUGUCUGUCUGAUGUGCACCGUUCAGGUCUACCUGACAGUGUGGCAAACCAUGCCUCAAAAGCAGACCUCAUGUGGAAGGUCAAGUACUCCUUGUCGGGAUACGAUUUGAAGUAUCUGGGGGACACGCAACAGGUAACUGAGGCACUACUCUCUUGUGUACGAGUGCUCUUCUUGCAAGGGUUCAUUUUCUCUUUUUAAUUUGCUUUUAUCUUGGUGUGUUUCUUUCUCUUCCUCAUCAUAGGACGCACACGAGUUACUCGUCAAUAUGCUGUGCCAGCUGAAGGAGGAGGGCAUGAUUCUGAAGACACUCGGGAUGAACUAUACCUGCCCUGUUUCCCAGCUGGAGUUCCAGCUUGUGUCGGUGCGCNNNNNNNNNNGAUGGGGUGCCACUAGAUAAAACAUAUUUGUAUAUACUCAUCUGCCUCUUCAGGCGUAAGCCAGUAGGUUGACACCAUCCAGUCAGCUGCUAACUUACUCUCUGUCUCCCCUACAGGUGUCUGUCUGAUGUGCACCGUUCAGGUCUACCUGACAGUGUGGCAAACCAUGCCUCAAAAGCAGACCUCAUGUGGAAGGUCAAGUACUCCUUGUCGGGAUACGAUUUGAAGUAUCUGGGGGACACGCAACAGGACGCACACGAGUUACUCGUCAAUAUGCUGUGCCAGCUGAAGGAGGAGGGCAUGAUUCUGAAGACACUCGGGAUGAACUAUACCUGCCCUGUUUCCCAGCUGGAGUUCCAGCUUGUGUCGGUGCGCACAUGUACCAGCUGUGGGCGCGAGUCGUCUACCAGAGAGGACUACAACCACCUCUCAUUGGACAUCAGCCCUGAGCGCACCUUGCUGAACAGCCUAGCACUCACUUUCAAAGUCAGCACUUAG